rnacentral:rRNA from 1 species
GACGAACGCUGGCGGCGUGCUUAACACAUGCAAGUCGAACGGAAAGGCCCUGCUUUUGUGGGGUGCUCGAGUGGCGAACGGGUGAGUAACACGUGAGUAACCUGCCCCUGACUUUGGGAUAACUUCAGGAAACUGGGGCUAAUACCGGAUAGGAGCUCCUGCUGCAUGGUGGGGGUUGGAAAGUUUCGGCGGUUGGGGAUGGACUCGCGGCUUAUCAGCUUGUUGGUGGGGUAGUGGCUUACCAAGGCUUUGACGGGUAGCCGGCCUGAGAGGGUGACCGGCCACAUUGGGACUGAGAUACGGCCCAGACUCCUACGGGAGGCAGCAGUGGGGAAUAUUGCACAAUGGGCGGAAGCCUGAUGCAGCAACGCCGCGUGCGGGAUGACGGCCUUCGGGUUGUAAACCGCUUUCGCCUGUAACGAAGCGUGAGUGACGGUAAUGGGUAAAGAAGCACCGGCUAACUACGUG